CUACGGGAGGCUGCAGUGAGGAAUAUUGAACAAUGGGGGGAACCCUGAUGCAGCAACGCCGCGUGGAGGAUGACGCAUUUCGGUGUGUAAACUCCUUUUAUAUGUCAAGAAAAUGACGGUAGCAUAUGAAUAAGCACCGGCUAACUCCGUGCCAGCAGCCGCGGUAAUACGGAGGGUGCAAGCGUCACUCGGAAUCACUGGGCGUAAAGGACGCGUAGGCGGGUUGGAAAGUCAGGUGUGAAAUCCUACAGCUUAACUGUAGAACUGCACUUGAAACUUCUAAUCUAGAGUAUGGGAGGGGGAGAUGGAAUUAGUGGUGUAGGGGUAAAAUCCGUAGAUAUCACUAGGAAUACCUAAAGCGAAGGCGAUCUCCUGGAACAUUACUGACGCUAAGGCGUGAAAGCGUGGGGAGCAAACAGGAUUAGAUACCCUCGUAGUC
rnacentral:rRNA from 1 species